UACAGAGGGUGCGAGCGUUUAAUCGGAAUUACUGGGCGUAAAGGGAGCGUAGGCGGGCUCUUAAGUUGGAUGUUUAAAACCGGGGCCUAACCCCGGCGUGGCAUCCAAAACUGGGAGUCUUGAAUGGGACAGAGGCCAGUGGAAUUAGAGGUGUAGCGGUGGAAUGCGUAGAUAUCUCUAAGAACACCAGUUGCGAAGGCGGCUGGCUGGGUCCACAUUGACGCUGAGGCUCGAAAGCGUGGGGAGCAAACAGG
rnacentral:rRNA from 1 species